ensembl:lncRNA
AGAUGGGCCCAAUAUAAUCACAAGGGUCUUUAAAAGUGGAAGCAGGAGGAGAAGAAGAGUCAGUCAGUGUCAGAGAGACAUGAUGUGAGACUCACCCUGCCAAUGCCGGCCUUGAAGAUACAAGGAGUCAAGAGCCAAGAAAUGCAGACAGCCUCUAGGAGCUAGAGAAGAUAAGGAAACAGUUUCUCCCCUAGAACUUCCAGGAAGAAAUACAUCCCUGUUGACAUCUUGAUUUUAGCCCAGGGAGUCUAUCAUCAGACUUCUGACCUCCAGGAUGCCUUGGCUGAUGAGGUCAUGGAAAGAGAAAUGGUGGAAAGGAAGGAGGCAAAGAAUACUUAUGCAGGCCAAGCAUUUUUCUUAGGCUCUAGGAAAAUGUGGAUAAGAUAAAGUUCCUGCUUUCACAGAAGGCACAGGUAUUGACACAGGAGCCAAUGUUUCGCUGGUAAUCCCAAUGAAAGAGAAAUGACAAUGAUACAAACUGGGGACCCUUAUGAGAAGUGGACAUCUGGACCCCUGGAAUGUGCUCCUUCAUGUGGAGAAAAUAACCAUCAAAUAAUACAUAACUAUAGUUUAAAAAGCUCUCACGUGCAUUUCAGCUUUGGGCUAUGUGUGAGCUGCUCUCCAAAGAUGACUGUAACUAAUCUUUCCCUCCUUGUAUGUAUAUGUUUCACUUUCCAUCAAGAAGUAAAACAUACUUUCACUUACCUUGAAUCUGAGCUGGGUUUGCGACUACUUUAACCAAUAGAAUGUGUAGAAAACGAUGUUGUGGGAGCCCUGAGACCAGGCAUUAAGAAGACAUGGCAGGUUUCAACUUCUUCCGUCUUGUAAUGCUCACUUUGGGAUCCUUGAGCCACUGUAUAAGAAGUCUUUCUACCCUGUUGGAGCAGCCUUACAAGCAGGAGAUGCUCUAAGACUUCAGCCAGCAUCCCAGUUGAACUUCCAGAUGACGCCAGGCCCAACUGCCAUCUGCAGGUGGCAUGAAAGACCCAAAGAAAGACCAAUAAAACUGUCCAGCCAGCCAAGCAAAGCUACAGAACCAUGAGAAAUAAUAAAAUGGCUGUUUCAAGCCACUCAGUUUUAGUGUGACUUGCCAUUCGGCAAUAGGAAACUAGAAUAGGCUAUAAACUUCAUUUUCCCACUCCAUGGGGUGUUAAUGUGGAAUUGUGUUUGGCAGUAUUGUUCUGAAACAACAACAAAAAUGUGCCAAUGCUUUGUGCUGGAUGCCAACUGGCACGAGAAAACCAUGGAGCAGCCUGUUGAGGGGAAGAUUCAAAGAUUGCCCUUUGCUCUGAGUAAAGUACUUUGAUGAGUGUUGAAAUUAAAGCCAGUUCCAGGAUGGCAUAUCUAGAAGUCUGAGAAGCCCUGUUUGGUUUGUGGAGCACCUGGAAAGAGUUGCUAGACAGUGCAGAAUUACUGCUUCUGGUGGGAUAAGGCUGGGAAGGCAGGAUACAAUCCUAGACACCAUAAUUAGAGGAUAUUGUUCCGGAAAUCAGUAUACCCAAAUAGAGGCUAAAAAUACUUGAGCAUUUUUGCUGAGCCCAGCUGCUAGCAGGGCAUUUGGCUCAAGGCCUGGGACUCCCCCCCACCCCCCCACCGCCCGCCCUCAUUUUUAUGCUUUUUCUCUCUUCAAUGUUAUAUUCCUUCAGUGUAAGAACUAUGAAUUCUUUUUGUUUCCUUUAAAUUCAAGUAGAAGCAUUCCUUUUUUGAUGGAGUCCUGAGGUUUCAAGGGUGCAAUGGGGUCUAUUUAACCUGGAGAUGCUAGAAAUGUGCUCCUUCACACAGAGAAAAUAACCAUCAAAUAACUCAUAACUAUACCUUUAAAAAGCUAUCACAUGUAUAAUAAAAACUUUCAGGUUGGUGGCAUCACUCACCUUCACAGAGGAGGAAAGCAGGUAUAGAGAGGUUUUGACUUUGCCAAAGGCCACAUAAGUAUUAAAUGGGGAGCUGCGAUUUGAAUCCACUAAUUAUUGAUUCCUAAGAUGGAUACUGCAUACAGGGUAUUGUUCUUGGGUCCUUAUUAAUGGUGUCUACAUUAUGACUAAGGGCAAUAGGUGGGGUGGUCAGAGGAGGAGGUAGGCCUGGGAGCCUUCCAAAGAGGAGGCACCUGAUAGCCACUUUGAAGUCACAGGUAAACUUGGUUGUGAGGGGUGGGCUGUCAAGGCCAAGAGAACAGCACAAUGGAGUCAGGAAUGCUUGUGAUGGGUUUGAGAAUGCACGAGGCAUGAGUUUCUAGUAUUUCCUAAAGUAUUAUCUCAUUUUAUCCUCAUAAUAACCUUGCAAGCCUUUAGAGGAAAUAGAAGUCAAUCUCCUCUUUUUUCUUUUUCCUCACUAUUAACCCCCGUCCUUGUGUGUGUGCACGCACGCAUGACUGCCUUUGUUACCUUCAUUCGUGUAGUAAAUGCAAUAUACUCUUAUUCAUAUAUACACAACAUAUGUUGGUGCCUUGUCCAGCUCUCCUUGAUGGAACCAGCGUGUGCGUCCCCCAACUGCCAUAAAUCUUGGCUGCUAAGGGUUCACGGCUGGUCUUCUUCUCCAAAGAACCAUCAUCACUGGAGUAGCCUCUUUACCCAGAAGAAAUUAUUCCCUCCACCCUGGGGGCACCCAGUGCCUGAUAAUUGGGCUGGAAAGGAGGCUGACCCUCUUGUCUCAAGGCCAAAGAUCAAGCUUUGGCUGUCGUCUUUUAGAUAAGAAAUCUGCCUGCUCGAUGUAAUCCAGAUUUGUACACAUUGCUGCCCAGGGAAGCUAACGAUUCAACUGUCAAGGGAAAGAGAAAGCUGGCUCUUGCCUGGGACCUCCUUGUUUAUUUUCCUGCGUUAACCUCAGCCUAUCCCUGGGGGAGCGUGUGCCUGCUCUGCCUUACGUGGGGAUCUGCGGGUGAAUAACCCUUUCUCUUCCUUUCCUUUUUUGGAUGAAUUCUGAUCUCCAUUUUUGUUUAUUUAUUUUUACUUUUACUUUUAUUUUAUUAUGGUAAGAACACUUACCAUGAAUGAGAUCUACCCUCUUGACAGAUAUU